GGGGAAUAUUGCACAAUGGGGGAAACCCUGAUGCAGCGACGCCGCGUGAGCGAAGAAGUAUUUCGGUAUGUAAAGCUCUAUCAGCAGGGAAGAUAAUGACGGUACCUGACUAAGAAGCCCCGGCUAACUACGUGCCAGCAGCCGCGGUAAUACGUAGGGGGCAAGCGUUAUCCGGAUUUACUGGGUGUAAAGGGAGCGUAGACGGCAAGGCAAGUCUGAUGUGAAAACCCAGGGCUUAACCCUGGGACUGCAUUGGAAACUGUCUGGCUCGAGUGCCGGAGAGGUAAGCGGAAUUCCUAGUGUAGCGGUGAAAUGCGUAGAUAUACGGAGGAACACCAGUGGCGAAGGCGGCCUGCUGGACAUUAACUGACGCUGAGGCGCGAAAGCGUGGGGAGCAAACAGGAUUAGAUACCCUGGUAGUCCACGCUGUAAACGAUGGAUACUAGGUGUGGGGGGACUGACCCCUUCCGUGCCGCAGUUAACACAAUAAGUAUCCCACCUGGGGAGUACGAUCGCAAGGUUGAAACUCAAAGGAAUUGACGGGGGCCCGCACAAGCGGUGGAGUAUGUGGUUUAAUUCGAAGCAACGCGAAGAACCUUACCAGGGCUUGACAUCCCGAGGCCCGGUCUAGAGAUAGACCUUUCUCUUCGGAGACAUCGGUGACAGGUGGUGCAUGGUUGUCGUCAGCUCGUGUCGUGAGAUGUUGGGUUAAGUCCCGCAACGAGCGCAACCCUUAUCUUUAGUAGCCAGCAGUAAGAUGGGCACUCUAGAGAGACUGCCGGGGAUAACCCGGAGGAAGGUGGGGAUGACGUCAAAUCAUCAUGCCCCUUAUGACCAGGGCUACACACGUGCUACAAUGGCGUAAACAAAGAGAAGCGAAGUCGUGAGGCAGAGCGAAUCUCAAAAAUAACGUCUCAGUUCGGAUUGUAGUCUGCAACUCGACUACAUGAAGCUGGAAUCGCUAGUAAUCGCAGAUCAGAAUGCUGCGGUGAAUACGUUCCCG
rnacentral:rRNA from 1 species